rnacentral:rRNA from 1 species
UAGGGAAUCUUCGGCAAUGGGGGGCAACCCUGACCGAGCAACGCCGCGUGAGUGAAGAAGGUUUUCGGAUCGUAAAGCUCUGUUGUAAGAGAAGAACGUGUGUGAGAGUGGAAAGUUCACACAGUGACGGUAACUUACCAGAAAGGGACGGCUAACUACGUGCUAG